CAAUCAGCAGCAUUAGUCUUGUUGGACGCUCUCUUUGCUUUUCCCCACGAGUGACCACGGCUAGAUAGGCCGCCGGCCAGAUGUGGCGGGGGAGAGCCGGAGCUUUGCUCCGGGUGUGGGGGUUUUGGCCGACAGGGGUUCCCAGAAGGAGACCGCUAAGCUGUGAUGCUGCGUCGCAGGCGGGAAGCAAUUCUCCCCGCUGUUGGAACUGCGGCGGCCCAUGGGGCCCCAGGCGGGAGGACAGGUUUUUCUGCCCACAGUGCCGAGCGCUGCAGGCACCUGACCCCACUCGAGACUACUUCAACCUUAUGGACUGCAACCGUUCCUUCAGAGUUGAUACUGCGAAGCUCCAGCACAGGUACCAGCAACUGCAGCGUCUUGUCCACCCAGAUUUCUUCAGCCAGAGGUCUCAGACUGAAAAGGACUUCUCAGAGAAGCAUUCGACCCUGGUGAAUGAUGCCUAUAAGACCCUCCUGGCCCCACUGAGCAGAGGACUGUACCUUCUAAAGCUCCAUGGAGUAGAGAUUCCUGAAGGGACAGAUUAUGAAAUGGACAGGCAAUUCCUUAUGGAAAUAAUGGAAAUCAAUGAAAAACUCGCAGAAGCCGAAAGUGAAGCUGCCAUGAAAGAGAUUGAAUCCAUUGUCAGAGGUGAAAGAUAAAAUAGCACCGAAUGUAUUUCAUUGCUGUUAUGAACACUUGUCCAAGGAUAACUGAAAAAUGAACAUAGAGUAUAUAAUGGCCCGGGCACAGUGGCUCACGCCUAUAAUCCCAGCACUUUGGGAGGCCAAGGCAAGUGGAUCACCUGAGGUUAGGAGUUCAAGACCAGCCUGGCCAACAUGGUGAAACCCUGUCUCUACUGAAGAUACAAAAAUUAGCCGGGCGUGGUGGCGGGCACCUGUAGUCCCAGCUACUUGGGAGGCUGAGGCAGGAGAAUGGUGUGAACCCGGGAGGCAGAGCUUGCAGUGAGCAGAGUCAGGCCACUGCACUCCAGCCUGGGCGACAGAGCGAGACUCCGUCUAAACAAAAAAAAAAAAAAGUUACUUAUUUUAAGGAAUUAGCUCACAUAAUUGUGGGAGCUGACACAUCUAAAAUCUAUAGGGUAGGGCUGGGCGCAGUGGCUCAUGCCUGUGAUCCCAGCAUUUUGGGAGGCCGAGGAGGGCAGAUCACUUGAGUCCAGGAGUUCAAUACCAACCUGGGCAACGUGGCGAAACCCCAUCUCUAAAAAAAUACAGAAAAAUCAGCCAAGCAUAGGCCAGGCACAGUGGCUUACGCCUGUAAUCCCAGGACUUUGGGAGGCCGAGGUGGGUGGAUCACCUGAGGUUGGGAGUUCGAGACCAGCCAGGCCAACAUGGAGAAACCCCAUCUCUACUAAAAGUAUAAAAUUAGCCAGGCAUGGUGGUGCAUGCCUGUAAUCCCAACUACUCGGGAGGCUGAAGCAGGAGAAUCGCUUGAGCUUGGGAGGCAGAGCUUGCAGUGAGCCGAGAUCGUGCCACUGCACUCCAGCCUGGACGACAGAGUGAGACUCCGUCUCAAAAAAAAAAAAAAAAAAAAUCAGCCAAGCGUGGAGGUGCGCACUUGUGGUCCCAGCUAUUCGGGAGGAUGAGGUGGGAGAAUCAUCUGAGCCCGGGAGGCAGAGGUUGCAGUGAGCUGAGAUCACACCACUGUACUCCAGCCUGAGUGAGAGAGUGAGACCCUGUCACAAAAUAAAUAAAAUCUAUAAGGGUAGAUAAGCAGGCUGAAAGUCUAGGCAGGAUUUCUAUGUUACAGUCUUGAUACAGAAUUCCUUCCCAGAAAACCUGUUUUUGCACUUAAUGCCUCUACUUGAUUGGAAGAGGCCCACCCAUAUUAUGUAGGGUAACAUCCGUUACUUAAAGUCAACUGAUUAUAAUAUUAAUCACAUCUACGAAUACCUUCACAGGAUCAUCUAAACUAGUUGAUUUUUGUUUUUUUGAGACAUGAUCUCACUCUGUCACCCAGGCUGGAGCACAGCAGUGCAGUACAGCGGACUGCAGCCUCGACCCAUGGGCUCAAGCAAUCCUCUCACCUCAGCCUCUUGGAUAGCUGGGACUACAGGCGUGCAUCACCACGCCUGGCUAAUUUUUUGUGUCUUUUAUAGAGAUGGGGUUUCGCCAUGUUGCCCAGGCUGGCUUCAAACUCCUAGGUUCAAAGCAAUUCACCUGCCUCAGUCUCCCAAAGUGCUGGGAUUACAGGCAUGACUCAAUGUGCCUGGCAUAGAUUCGUGUUUGAUCAAACAACUGGGCACCAUAGCCUAGCCAAGUUGACACAUAACCAUUCCACAAAGAAAAGAUUCCAAGGUUCUCUAUUAGACUAUAUUCAGUUAUGUACUUUCACAAAUAUCUGAAGCGUACCUACAAAUAUCAGGCACUGUGCAUGACACUGAGGAUACAGCAUGGAACAAGAAAGACUGUGCUGUGCCUUCUUGGAGUUAAUAUAUGUCAACUGUGCCCAAAAUGAAAUUCCCAGGUGUCUCCCCUCCCCACCUUUCCCCGAAAAAAAAAUCUGUUCCUCAGGCUGGGUGCAGUGGCUCACGCCUAUAAUCCCAGCACUUUGGGAGGCCAGGGCAGGCGGAUCACGAGGUCAGGAGAUCAAGACCAUCCUGGCUAACAUGAUGAAACCCCGUCUCUACUAAAAAUACAAAAAAUUAGCCGAGAGUGUUGGCACACGCCUGUAGUCCCAGCUACUCGGGAGGCUGAGGCAGUAGAAUUGCUUGAACCCAGGAGGUGGAGAUUGCAGUGAGCCAAGAUCAUGCCACUGCACUCCAGCCUGGGUGACAGAGCGAGACUCUGAAUAAAAAAUAAUAAUAAUCUGUUCCUCUUCCAGUGUUCCCUAAGAGAAUGACACCAGUUGCACAAGUGUAAAUUUUGAGGAGGCCUUAACAACCUUAUUCUUCCUUAUGCCUAUAGUCAAUCUAUUACAUCUGAAAGAGCUGACUUAAAUUUGCCUCAAAUUCAUCCACCUAUCUCUACUUUCACUGCCACCAGCCUUUUCCAAGCUACCAUUCACUCUCACCUGGACAACUGCAGUAGCUUUUCACUGGUCUGUCUGUACCUUCAGGCCCCAUCUAACAAAUGCCUUCACUGUCACUGGAAUCUUUUUGAAACCCAAGUCUUUUUUUUUUUUUUUUGAGACAGAGUCUUGCUCUGUUGCCUAGGCUGGAGCGCAGUGGCAUGAUCUCGGCUCACUGCAACCUCCACCUCCCAGGUUCAAGCUAUUCUCCUGCCUCUGCCUCUGCCUCCCGAGUAGCUGGGACUGCAGGUGCGUGCCACCGUGCUUGGGUAAUUUGUCUAUUUUUUUAAGUAGUGACGGAGUUUUACCAUGUUGCCCAGGCUGGUCUCAAACUCUUGACCUCAGGUGAUUAUCCAUCUCAGCCUCCCAAAGUGCUGGGAUUACAGGUGUGAGCCACCAAGCCCAGCCAAAACCCAAAUCUAAUCACUACUCUUGACCUUAUUUAAAUUGACCAGGUGUGAUGGCUUACGCCUGUAAUCUAAGCACUUUGGGAGGCUGAAGUGGAAGGAUCACUUGAGCUCAGGAGUUCAAGACUAGCCUGGUCAACACAGCAAGACCCCAUCUCCAUAAAAAAUUUAAAAAUUAACCAGAUGUGGUGGCGCAUGCCUGUAGUCCCAGCUACUCGAGAGGCCGAGGCAAAAGGAUCACUUGAGCCCAGGAGGUGGAGACUGCAGCGAACCGUGUUUGCACCAUUGCACUCCAGCUUCAGCAACAGAGCGAAAACACGCCUCAAAAAAAAAAAGAAAAAACUUUUAAGUGGCUUCUCACUGCUCUAAAACUCUUUAGCAUCCCUUACAGGGCCGUUGCUGUGGCCUCUGCUUCUCUCUGUUCUGCCUUCUCCACUCCAGCCACAAUGACCACUUCCAGUUCCUUAUCUAUAUACUGGGCACCCUCCUACCCUAGGGCCUGUUGCUUCUGCCUGAAACCCUCUUCUCCUCCACCCCAUUUAAGUUAACCCCUCCUUCUUCAGAUCUGAAGGCAAUCAUUACUUCCUCAGAGAAGCCUUUUUUAAGCUAUCUAUUAGUAGUGGCUAUUUCUUUUGUAGGACUGAUCACAGUUAUAUCUUUACUGUUCUAUGUGACAUUAAUUGAUCAAUAUCAGCCUCCCUCAUUAGACUGGAAGUUCUGCAGAAGGAGAAAUCAUGUCUACUUUUUGCUUCCCUCACAUCCUCAGCUCACAGAAAAGUACUUAUAGUUUAAAAGGAACUUGCCAUGUUAUAACCUUGGUGAUUGCUCCUCAGACCUUUCAUGGGUAGAAAAACAGUGUUAUUAGGGUCAACCAGAGUUGUGCUAAACAGCAGCUGCCAUCGUGGUACACACAGAGACAAAGGUUAUGAAGCCUUACCUUGAAUACAAACUUCCUCUUUUGUUGUGUUCAAACCAGCAUGACUACAAAGUGUAAGUAUUGUCUUUGUAUUAUGAGUCUAUUUCAGUGGAAAAAUUAACAGAAUGGUUUUCUUUUUCAGCUAAACAGAAAGAAUUUGCUGACAAUGUGAGCAGUGCUUUUGAACAAGAUGACUUUGAAGAAGCCAAGGAAAUUUUGACAAAGAUGAGAUACUUUUCAAAUAUAGAAGAAAAGAUCAAGUUAAAGAAGAUUCCCCUUUAAUUGUUGAUAGUUUAAAGUUUAAAAAAUAAAGUUCUUGCUGGGCA